GAUGAACGCUAGCUACAGGCUUAACACAUGCAAGUCGAGGGGAAACGAUAUUGGAAGCUUGCUUCCGAUAGGCGUCGACCGGCGCACGGGUGAGUAACGCGUAUCCAACCUGCCCACCACUUGGGGAUAACCUUGCGAAAGUAAGACUAAUACCCAAUGACGUCUCUAGAAGACAUCUGACAGAGAUUAAAGAUUUAUCGGUGAUGGAUGGGGAUGCGUCUGAUUAGCUUGUUGGCGGGGUAACGGCCCACCAAGGCUACGAUCAGUAGGGGUUCUGAGAGGAAGGUCCCCCACAUUGGAACUGAGACACGGUCCAAACUCCUACGGGAGGCAGCAGUGAGGAAUAUUGGUCAAUGGGCGAGAGCCUGAACCAGCCAAGUAGCGUGCAGGAUGACGGCCCUAUGGGUUGUAAACUGCUUUUAUAAGGGAAUAAGGUGAGUCUCGUGAGACUUUUUGCAUGUACCUUAUGAAUAAGGACCGGCUAAUUCCGUGCCAGCCGCCGCAGUAA
rnacentral:rRNA from 1 species